rnacentral:rRNA from 1 species
AGUGAACGCUGGCGGUAGGCCUAACACAUGCAAGUCGAACGGCAGCACAGUAAGAGCUUGCUCUUACGGGUGGCGAGUGGCGGACGGGUGCGGAAUACAUCGGAAUCUACUUUUUCGUGGGGGAUAACGUAGGGAAACUUACGCUAAUACCGCAUACGACCUACGGGUGAAAGCAGGGGAUCUUCGGACCUUGCGCGAUUGAAUGAGCCGAUGUCGGAUUAGCUAGUUGGCGGGGUAAAGGCCCACCAAGGCGACGAUCCGUAGCUGGUCUGAGAGGAUGAUCAGCCACACUGGAACUGAGACACGGUCCAGACUCCUACGGGAGGCAGCAGUGGGGAAUAUUGGACAAAGGGCGCAAGCCUGAUCCAGCCAUACCGCGUGGGUGAAGAAGGCCUUCGGGUUGUAAAGCCCUUUUGUUGGGAAAGAAAGGCAGCAGGUUAAUACCCCGCUGUUCUGACGGUACCCAAAGAAUAAGCACCGGCUAACUUCGUG